CCAUCGAUCUAGAUCUCUACCUUGAAGAUUCAAUAACUAUACUCCAUUCAACACAUCUCGAGUCCAAAUACUAAUGAAAAUAGAGUACCAAGUAGAUCUACCGAGGUCGAGAAGGAUGACAGCCCUACCUCAUGCGUGGAAUACUAAAAAAUAUUGCUAAUAUCAUCAAAACCAUGGCCACGAUAUUGAAGGGUAUCGAUAACUUAAAGAUGAUAUCAAGGCACUCAUCUGGUGGGGACAAC
rnacentral:lncRNA from 1 species